AACGCGAAGAACCUUACCUACCCUUGACAUGUACGGAAGCCUCCAGAGAUGGGGGUGUGCCCGAAAGGGAGCCGUAACACAGGUGCUGCAUGGCUGUCGUCAGCUCGUGUCGUGAGAUGUUGGGUUAAGUCCCGCAACGAGCGCAACCCUUGUCCCUAGUUGCUACGCAAGGGCACUCUAGGGAGACUGCCGGUGACAAACCGGAGGAAGGUGGGGAUGACGUCAAGUCCUCAUGGCCCUUAUGGGUAGGGCUUCACACGUCAUACAAUGGCCGGUACAGAGGGUUGCCAAAGCGCGAGCUGGAGCCAAUCCCAGAAAGCCGGUCGUAGUCCGGAUUGCAGUCUGCAACUCGACUGCAUGAAGUCGGAAUCGCUAGUAAUCGCGGAUCAGCAUGUCGCGGUGAAUACGUUCCCGGGUCUGUACACACCG
rnacentral:rRNA from 1 species